rnacentral:rRNA from 1 species
GUUUGUCGCGUUGUUCGUGAAAUCUCACGGCUUAACUGUGAGCGUGCGGGCGAUACGGGCAGACUUGAGUACUGCAGGGGAGACUGGAAUUCCUGGUGUAGCGGUGGAAUGCGCAGAUAUCAGGAGGAACACCGGUGGCGAAGGCGGGUCUCUGGGCAGUAACUGACGCUGAGGAGCGAAAGCGUGGGGAGCGAACAGGAUUAGAUACCCUGGUAGUCCACGCCGUAAACGGUGGGUACUAGGUGUGGGUUUCCUUCCUUGGGAUCCGUGCCGUAGCUAACGCAUUAAGUACCCCGCCUGGGGAGUACGGCCGCAAGGCUAAAACUCAAAGAAAUUGACGGGGGCCCGCACAAGCGGCGGAGCAUGUGGAUUAAUUCGAUGCAACGCGAAGAACCUUACCUGGGUUUGACAUGCACAGGACGCCGGCAGAGAUGUCGGUUCCCUUGUGGCCUGUGUGCAGGUGGUGCAUGGCUGUCGUCAGCUCGUGUCGUGAGAUGUUGGGUUAAGUCCCGCAACGAGCGCAACCCUUGUCUCAUGUUGCCAGCGGGUAAUGCCGGGGACUCGUGAGAGACUGCCGGGGUCAACUCGGAGGAAGGUGGGGAUGACGUCAAGUCAUCAUGCCCCUUAUGUCCAGGGCUUCACACAUGCUACAAUGGCCGGUACAAAGGGCUGCGAUGCCGCGAGGUUAAGCGAAUCCUUUUAAAGCCGGUCUCAGUUCGGAUCG